CCUACGGGGUGCAGCAGUGAGGAAUAUUGGUCAAUGGGCGCGAGCCUGAACCAGCCACGUAGCGUGAAGGAUGACUGCCCUACGGGUUGUACACUUCUUUUAUAAAGGAAUAAAGUGAGGCACGUGUGCCUUUUUGUAUGUACUUUAUGAUUAAGGAUCGGCUAACUCCGUGCCAGCCGCCGCGGUAAGACGGAGGAUACGAGCGUUAUCCGGGUUUAUUGGGGUUAAAGGGCGCGUAGAUGGGUUGUUAAGUUAGUGGUGAAAGUUUGCGGUUCAAACUUAGAAUUGCAAUUGAUACUGGCAGUCUUGAGUACAGUUGAGGUAGGCGGAAUGCGUGGUGUAGCGGUGAAAUGCUUAGAUAUCACGAAGAACUCCGAUUGCGAAGGCAGCUUACUAACCUGCCACUGACAUUGAUGCUCGAAAGUGUGGGUAUCAAACAGGAUUAGAUACCCCUGUAGUC
rnacentral:rRNA from 1 species